ACAAACAGCUCGAAGCUGGGUUUCCAAGCGUGGCAGGUGGCUCAUUAUGCGUGACAGAGGCACAAGAGCAGGCUAAUCAGGCCUAGAUCCCACAGCUGCGGAGAUUCAAGCCCUGUGCAAUGUUCACCACUGGACACGGCCAAGCUCCUGGGUGUCACUUACUGGAAGUAGCUGGUGAAGAAAACAGACAAAUUCCUUGCUCUCGGGACCUUAUCAUCUAGGCCACCAACCACUCCGUGAGGCUCGGGCUCUUUGGGUUCAAAGUUACCGAGGACCCCUGGGCGGAGCACAGGAUC